ACGGAGGGUGCAAGCGUUGUCCGGAUUUAUUGGGUUUAAAGGGUGCGUAGGUGGUUUUUUAAGUCAGUGGUGAAAGCCUACAGCUUAACUGUAGAGGUGCCAUUGAUACUGGGAAACUUGAGUAUGGACGAGGUAGGCGGAAUUUGUGGUGUAGCGGUGAAAUGCAUAGAUACCACAAAGAACACCGAUAGCGAAGGCAGCUUACUGGACCAUAACUGACACUGAGGCACGAAAGCGUGGGGAGCGAACAGG
rnacentral:rRNA from 1 species